ensembl:snRNA U2 U2 spliceosomal RNA
AUCGCUUCUCGGCCUUUUGGCUAAGAUCAACUGUAGUAUCUGUUCUUAUCAGUUUAAAAGGCAUAUAUUUCAGGUAAAUCAAAAGAGGAAAGGAAACUUCAGUUGAGGGCUACUCAUC